rnacentral:lncRNA from 1 species
UACACGCCGAUGACGCCGGGCGCGCUGGACAUGAGCCGGGCCUCGUCGCCAGUGAGCUGGACGGCGAAGCCGUGCAUGACGGUGUCGUAGGUGUACAGGAUGCCGCUGGAGCUCGCCGCCCGAGUGGAAGACGCGUGGGUGGACACCAUGGAACGGUACCAGUCCUCCAGGGAGCGGAAGUGGGGCGGCUUGGCGAGGUCGUUGGCAUGGACGAUGUAGGUGGUGCUCGUUGUUGACUGAGGCUUCAGCGCAGCGUGGUUCUUGGUCUUUGGGGUGAGGACUGCGUCGGCGAACUGGACAAGGAGGAGGAAGAGUGCUAGGUGGUGCAAGAGCCUGGUGAUGGUGGUCGCCAUUGCUGAUGGAUGUGUGCGUGAGCUCGUGGUGAAGGAAUGCGUGCCCGGUGUGAGCCUUUUAUAGAGGCCGAGCCCUGGACAAUGCUACACUACACAGCAGAAAGAGUGGUAAGCUGGUGUACCAUGUGGUGGUAGGCCAUGUGGUCGGUGGAUUGCACUAGAAGAUUUUGCUCAUUAACAGAUUGUUAGAUGACAUGUAGGACCAUUUGUCAGUGAUAAAAAUGUCAUUCUAGAUUGUAUACAAUAUCUCUGUAUUCCUAUCGAAAAAAACUUGUUUGAUCAAGGAAAACACAGUACUCCCGGACUACGGAACUCUUGUGGCUAGCUAAGUGCCUCUUUUGUACAGUUAAGCAAGGAGGACAUUAAUGUAUUUGUGGUGUGAGCCUAUGCAACAUUAGUUAGUGUAUUCAAUGUGAGAACUUUGGUUAUGCUUGUUCAAUCCGCAAGAAAGUUGUGUCUCAUGGUUAAUGGGGCAUUACCCCAACUUCAGGUGAGUAGUUAGUUCACCUAAGGAUUACCCUAGAUUUAAUUCAAUCAACAUGAGCCCCUAGGAAAAAUAAGGGCACUCACAAUGCAGACUCUAUCAUAGAGUCUAAAGUUAUUUAUUACCUCGAACAAUGUGGACUUGGAGUUUAAAUAAGACUUGGAGUCUUAUUUUUUUCUACCUCUUUCUUCAAUAAAUAUGCUGCCACAUCAGCAAAAUAUCAUAAAUAAUAUGUAAUUAAGUGUCUUGGACUCUAUGAUAGAGUCUUGCAUUGUGAGUGCCCUAAUAGGAAGAGAACUUUUUGUGUGAUUACUGAGUUUAAAGAUCUAGUAUAAAGAUAUUCGUCCCAGGAAAUAAAAGUAAAGAAAGAUGUCAAGUUUUGGGAACCAAGGUGAGGAGCUUUUGCCAGAAUUUGUGCCCUUCUUUAAAAAAUAUUAAGAUAACUUUAUCAUAUUUAGAUGAAUUUGUAGAAAAAUUCCAUUUGGACAUGCUCCUUUCUGAAAAUGAAAUGCAACAAGUCAUCUUGCACCAGACAAUAGCAAAUUCAAGGCCACAAAUAUGUAUCAGAGGCGUGCAAGUCAAAACCAGUGCUACACUGCCCGCACUGAAGAAAGCCCAAUGAGCAUUCUGGGCUGUAAAACAAAUAAAACUUUGGAGCUAUCUCGAUUUGUUAUACUAGAUAGCUCAGAAGUGUAAGAGUUUCAAUUUCAUCAGGCGACCAAGGUUAAUAUAGACAGCAAAUGUGAACUCCGAAGCAAUGUCCAUUAAGAAAGAUGAACCCUGAAGCAAUAAUAAGGUGCUCCUAAAAGAUUAGACAGUUUCUCCUGUAGUCUCUUUCAACUAUAAUUCCAUCAUAUCCUGCCAAUUUGAACUCAAGGUGUCAAUGAUAAGCCCGUAUACAUGGAUACUCCUCACUUUUAGUAGUGGGCUGCCUUGCAAAUUAAUCCACAGCCAUUUAUUCAAAACGAGGCGACGUGUUUGGCCAUCCUGCCCGGCCUUAAAUAUCCUCUCUGUUCAACCAAAUCAUAAAUUGUAAGAAAUGGUGGCCAGUUAGAUUUCUUCGCUUGUACUCCGUUGUAGUGAACAACAGACCAUUUCAUGAUGUCAAUGAUAUAUAAUGCUGGGCAGAGAAGCCUAUCACAACUGUACUAGUAGAAUGAUUUCCUCUCUGCUAUCAGGAACAUUGGUAAAGCUAAAAAAUACUUCUCCUAGCUCCCUCUGGAGGAGCCUCCUGAGAGGCUGUUUUAUCAAAUGUUUUUCAAAACAGCUUCAGCUCUAUUGGUGAAGCUUCUCAUGGAACCGAAGCCCCCACAUAAAAAAACAAAAACAAAAACAAAAACUUCACUAGUGAAACCAAAAUAGUUGUAUCAGUGCACUUAUGCCAUAGUUUGGGCAUCAAAAGGCAACUAGCACACCACAAUCUAGUAAGGUCUAUCAAAUUUGCUGGUAAGGUUUUAUGCUUUUGGUUACCAAGGACAAUGGGGAUCAUUUUUGCAAAAACGAGGGAAGUGGGG